CUGUGCUCCCAGCUCCUCAUGGCAAACACCUGCGAGCCCCGUCAGUGGCUUCCUGUCUGUUUCUCCCCUAAAGACAAGAGCUCUGCUAGAGAUCAGUCCUCCGGAGGUUUUCUGUGGAAUUAGGGUUUGGGUCACACGCCGGAUUUUCUUGGGACGUGGGGGUCUCCUGAGGAUUCCGGGGUGUGGGAGCACCUUAUCCGUGUCUGAACCGGAGUGCGUUACUGGACAGGGUGUUUGUGGGUGUAAAUAUCUCCGGGAUGGUCAUGGAGAAGCAGAGACUCAAAUGACAGCGCGUGACUGUGGGGAAGAGGGAGGGACGAGAUCCCCAGCAGCUCAUCACGGAGGCCUUUCCUUGGACGCCUGCUGCAAAAGCACCACUACGGCCCCUAGAGUGUUGCCGUCUAUAAGAAAAGGAAGAUCACAAGGCCUCAUAUUUUGAUUUUAAUUCUCUGUCAACUGGGCAACAUGGCCUCUGAAAGGUCAGCUUUUUCCAGCUCCCUUUCCAUAUAAUGUGGGGGUAAUUGUACUGCCCCCCCUUCAAGUUCACAUCUACCGGAAACCUUAUUUGGAAAGAGGGUCUUAGCCUGCAGGGUGGAGGUGAGGUCAUGGCGGACUAAGGCAGGUCUCAGCCAGCGACUCGUGUCCGGAACAGACAGCCACGUGCAGACAGACAGAUUCCAAUGAUCGCUCUACAAAACGAGGAACAGCGAGCAUUGCCGGAAGCCCCCAGAAGCUCGGAUGGUGUCACAGACCAGACUGUUCUCCAGAACCUCCGAGAGAGCAGGACCCUGCUGUCACCUGGAUUUGGGACUGAGAUUCGGGCUUUUAAAACAGAAAUUUCGGGGGGGGGUGGGGGGGGCGUUGCUUUCUAAUCAGGUACAUCGAACGCAGUCAAAAUCCCACCUAAAGUCGCUCUUGAAAAAUCAACGGAUGGAUCAUGAUCCGAGGGUUUGAAUUUUCCGGCUUCCCCCAAUAACACUAUUCUUGGCGAUACUUGCCGAAGACGAGGGCACUGUGGUGCUGACCUCACAAAACCGGCCAAAUGCCCCAGUGCUUCCUUCUCUUGUGCUAAAAAAGGAAACUUCUGGCCCACCAUCAUGACCAUCCAGUGUUCACGAACCCGAUGUAUAAUUUCACUCAUUCAUUUUUUCAGUAAGUAUUUACUGGGCACCUACUACGUGUCAGGCGCUGUCCCAGACACCGGGGACACAGCAGCGAACAGGACACGGCAGAAAUUGCUGCCUUCGUGAGCUAGUGUGCGGAUACAGGCAGCACACAAGGUCAACAGUUAACAUCUAGAACAUCUGUCAGGUGGCGGUACGGACUGAGGAAAGUGCGAAGCGGUGAAGAAAGCCAGGCUGCAAUUUUGGACAGCGUUCCAGAAGGGGCUUCGUUGGGAAGGGGACAGUUUCUGCACGGAUCCGGUGAGAGAGGGGCUGGGUCCCCUGCAGCUGCUACAAAGUCGUUUUCCUCGUUGUGUCUGUGUCUCCGUCUGCACGGAGAGCAACAGCUGUACGUGUUCGUUCUUUCCCGCCGCAGAGUCCGGUUGGCCGUGAUCUUCACUCACGGCUCUUUGGCAGCAUCGGGCACUGGAUUCGUUUCCCGAGGCUCCUGGGACAAGCCGCCCGAACUCAGUGGCGGUGAAAAUAUCCCCUCUCAGUUCUGGGGCCUGAAGGCUGAGGUGGGGUUCGCUG